AGAGUUUGAUCCUGGCUCAGAACGAACGCUGGCGGCAGGCUUAACACAUGCAAGUCGAACGCACCGCAAGGUGAGUGGCAGACGGGUGAGUAACGCGUGGGAAUCUACCCAAUACUACGGAAUAGCUCCGGGAAACUGGAAUUAAUACCGUAUGUGCCCUACGGGGGAAAGAUUUAUCGGUAUUGGAUGAGCCCGCGUUGGAUUAGCUAGUUGGUGGGGUAAUGGCCUACCAAGGCGACGAUCCAUAGCUGGUCUGAGAGGAUGAUCAGCCACACUGGGACUGAGACACGGCCCAGACUCCUACGGGAGGCAGCAGUGGGGAAUAUUGGACAAUGGGCGAAAGCCUGAUCCAGCCAUGCCGCGUGAGUGAUGAAGGCCUUAGGGUUGUAAAGCUCUUUCAGUGGGGAAGAUAAUGACGGUACCCACAGAAGAAGCCCCGGCUAACUUCGUGCCAGCAGCCGCGGUAAUACGAAGGGGGCUAGCGUUGUUCGGAUUUACUGGGCGUAAAGCGCACGUAGGCGGAUUGUUAAGUCAGGGGUGAAAUCCUGGAGCUCAACUCCAGAACUGCCUUUGAUACUGGCAAUCUUGAGUCCGGAAGAGGUGAGUGGAACUCCUAGUGUAGAGGUGGAAUUCGUAGAUAUUAGGAAGAACACCAGUGGCGAAGGCGGCUCACUGGUCCGGUACUGACGCUGAGGUGCGAAAGCGUGGGGAGCGAACAGGAUUAGAUACCCCCGUAGUCC
rnacentral:rRNA from 1 species